AGGGGCGAGCGACAAGGAGCAAUCUGAGGUGGCGACCGGCGCACGGGUGAGUAACACGUAUGCGAACCUGACCUGUAAGCGGGGAAUAACCCGUUGAAAGACGGACUAAUACCGCAUAAUACUAAAUUACUGCAUGGUAAUUUAUUUAAACAUUUAUGGCUUACAGAUGGGCAUGCGCAUGAUUAGCUAGUUGGAGAGGUAACGGCUCCCCAAGGCAACGAUCAUUAGGGGUUCUGAGAGGAAGGUCCCCCACACUGGUACUGAGACACGGACCAGACUCCUACGGGAGGCAGCAGUGAGGAAUAUUGGUCAAUGGACGAGAGUCUGAACCAGCCAAGUCGCGUGCAGGAAGAAUGUCCUAUGGGAUUGUAAACUGCUUUUGCAGGGGAAUAAAGUGCAUCACGUGUGAUGUUUUGUAUGUACUCUGCGAAUAAGGAUCGGCUAACUCCGUGCCAGCAGCUGC
rnacentral:rRNA from 1 species